CAUAGGUUAAUGAGGCGAACCGGGGGAACUGAAACAUCUAAGUACCCCGAGGAAAAGAAAUCAACCGAGAUUCCCCCAGUAGCGGCGAGCGAACGGGGAGGAGCCCAGAGCCUGAAUCAGUGUGUGUGUUAGUGGAAGCGUCUGGAAAGGCGCGCGAUACAGGGUGACAGCCCCGUACACAAAAAUACACAUAUUGUGAGCUCGAUGAGUAGGGCGGGACACGUGGUAUCCUGUCUGAAUAUGGGGGGACCAUCCUCCAAGGCUAAAUACUCCUGACUGACCGAUAGUGAACCAGUACCGUGAGGGAAAGGCGAAAAGAACCCCGGCGAGGGGAGUGAAAAAGAACCUGAAACCGUGUACGUACAAGCAGUGGGAGCCUCUUUAUGGGGUGACUGCGUACCUUUUGUAUAAUGGGUCAGCGACUUAUAUUCUGUAGCAAGGUUAACCGAAUAGGGGAGCCGAAGGGAAACCGAGUCUUAACUGGGCGUUAAGUUGCAGGGUAUAGACCCGAAACCCGGUGAUCUAGCCAUGGGCAGGUUGAAGGUUGGGUAACACUAACUGGAGGACCGAACCGACUAAUGUUGAAAAAUUAGCGGAUGACUUGUGGCUGGGGGUGAAAGGCCAAUCAAACCGGGAGAUAGCUGGUUCUCCCCGAAAGCUAUUUAGGUAGCGCCUCGUGAAUUCAUCUCCGGGGGUAGAGCACUGUUUCGGCAAGGGGGUCAUCCCGACUUACCAACCCGAUGCAAACUGCGAAUACCGGAGAAUGUUAUCACGGGAGACACACGGCGGGUGCUAACGUCCGUCGUGAAGAGGGAAACAACCCAGACCGCCAGCUAAGGUCCCAAAGUCAUGGUUAAGUGGGAAACGAUGUGGGAAGGCCCAGACAGCCAGGAUGUUGGCUUAGAAGCAGCCAUCAUUUAAAGAAAGCGUAAUAGCUCACUGGUCGAGUCGGCCUGCGCGGAAGAUGUAACGGGGCUAAACCAUGCACCGAAGCUGCGGCAGCGACACUAUGUGUUGUUGGGUAGGGGAGCGUUCUGUAAGCCUGUGAAGGUGGCCUGUGAGGGUUGCUGGAGGUAUCAGAAGUGCGAAUGCUGACAUAAGUAACGAUAAAGCGGGUGAAAAGCCCGCUCGCCGGAAGACCAAGGGUUCCUGUCCAACGUUAAUCGGGGCAGGGUGAGUCGACCCCUAAGGCGAGGCCGAAAGGCGUAGUCGAUGGGAAACAGGUUAAUAUUCCUGUACUUGGUGUUACUGCGAAGGGGGGACGGAGAAGGCUAUGUUGGCCGGGCGACGGUUGUCCCGGUUUAAGCGUGUAGGCUGGUUUUCCAGGCAAAUCCGGAAAACCAAGGCUGAGGCGUGAUGACGAGGCACUACGGUGCUGAAGCGACAAAUGCCCUGCUUCCAGGAAAAGCCUCUAAGCAUCAGGUAACAUCAAAUCGUACCCCAAACCGACACAGGUGGUCAGGUAGAGAAUACCAAGGCGCUUGAGAGAACUCGGGUGAAGGAACUAGGCAAAAUGGUGCCGUAACUUCGGGAGAAGGCACGCUGAUAUGUAGGUGAAGCGACUUGCUCGUGGAGCUGAAAUCAGUCGAAGAUACCAGCUGGCUGCAACUGUUUAUUAAAAACACAGCACUGUGCAAACACGAAAGUGGACGUAUACGGUGUGACGCCUGCCCGGUGCCGGAAGGUUAAUUGAUGGGGUUAGCGGUAACGCGAAGCUCUUGAUCGAAGCCCCGGUAAACGGCGGCCGUAACUAUAACGGUCCUAAGGUAGCGAAAUUCCUUGUCGGGUAAGUUCCGACCUGCACGAAUGGCGUAAUGAUGGCCAGGCUGUCUCCACCCGAGACUCAGUGAAAUUGAACUCGCUGUGAAGAUGCAGUGUACCCGCGGCAAGACGGAAAGACCCCGUGAACCUUUACUAUAGCUUGACACUGAACAUUGAGCCUUGAUGUGUAGGAUAGGUGGGAGGCUUUGAAGUGUGGACGCCAGUCUGCAUGGAGCCGACCUUGAAAUACCACCCUUUAAUGUUUGAUGUUCUAACGUUGGCCCGUAAUCCGGGUUGCGGACAGUGUCUGGUGGGUAGUUUGACUGGGGCGGUCUCCUCCUAAAGAGUAACGGAGGAGCACGAAGGUUGGCUAAUCCUGGUCGGACAUCAGGAGGUUAGUGCAAUGGCAUAAGCCAGCUUGACUGCGAGCGUGACGGCGCGAGCAGGUGCGAAAGCAGGUCAUAGUGAUCCGGUGGUUCUGAAUGGAAGGGCCAUCGCUCAACGGAUAAAAGGUACUCCGGGGAUAACAGGCUGAUACCGCCCAAGAGUUCAUAUCGACGGCGGUGUUUGGCACCUCGAUGUCGGCUCAUCACAUCCUGGGGCUGAAGUAGGUCCCAAGGGUAUGGCUGUUCGCCAUUUAAAGUGGUACGCGAGCUGGGUUUAGAACGUCGUGAGACAGUUCGGUCCCUAUCUGCCGUGGGCGCUGGAGAACUGAGGGGGGCUGCUCCUAGUACGAGAGGACCGGAGUGGACGCAUCACUGGUGUUCGGGUUGUCAUGCCAAUGGCACUGCCCGGUAGCUAAAUGCGGAAGAGAUAAGUGCUGAAAGCAUCUAAGCACGAAACUUGC
rnacentral:rRNA from 1 species